rnacentral:rRNA from 1 species
GAUGAACGCUGGCGGCGUGCCUCAUACAUGCAAGUCGAGCGAAGCGGGGACGGGUGAGUAACACUUGGAUAACCUCCUAUAAAACCGGGAUAGCUUCGGAAAACCGGUGCAAAACCUGCUACUCAUAGAUGGCUUCGCGCUGCAUUAGCUAGUUGGUAAGGUAACGGCUUACCAAGGCCACGAUGCAUCUCCGACCGGGUAGUGUGAUGUGCAACACUGGAAAUGAAACACGGUCCAGACUCCUACGGGAGGCAGCAUUAGGGAAUGUUCGGCAAUGGGCGAAAGCCUGACGAAGCAACGCCGCGGGAGUGAUGAAGGUCUUCGGAUCGUAAAACUCUGUUAUUAGGGAAGCGGUACCUAAGCAGAAAGCCACGGCUAACUACGUGCCAGCAGCCGCGGUAAUUC